GACGAACGCUGGCGGCGUGCUUAACACAUGCAAGUCGAACGGAAAGGCCCUGCUUGCCGGGUGCUCGAGUGGCGAACGGGUGAGUAACACGUGGGUGAUCUGCCCCUUAUUUUGGGAUAAGCCUGGGAAACUGGGUCUAAUACUGGAUAGGACCAUGCUGUAGGUGGUGUGGUGGAAAGAUUAGUUUCGGUAAGGGAUGAGCUCGCGGCCUAUCAGCUUGUUGGUGGGGUAAUGGCCUACCAAGGCGUCGACGGGUAGCCGGCCUGAGAGGGUGGACGGCCACAUUGGGACUGAGAUACGGCCCAGACUCCUACGGGAGGCAGCAGUGGGGAAUAUUGCACAAUGGGCGCAAGCCUGAUGCAGCGACGCCGCGUGGGGGAUGACGGCCUUCGGGUUGUAAACUCCUUUCAGCCAUGACGAAGCCCUUGUGGUGACGGUAGUGGUAGAAGAAGCACCGGCGAACUACGG
rnacentral:rRNA from 1 species